AAGGUUCCUUCGGGGACCCGGUAGAGUGGCGGACGGGUGAGUAACACGUGGGUAAUCUGCCUUUGGGUGGGGAAUAACCCUUCGAAAGAGGGGCUAAUACCGCAUAACGCAGCGGCACCGAAUGGUGACAGUUGUUAAAGUGGGGGAUCGCAAGACCUCACGCCUGAAGAGGAGCCCGCGCCCGAUUAGCUAGUUGGUGCGGUAAUGGCGUACCAAGGCGACGAUCGGUAGCCGGCCUGAGAGGGCGGACGGCCACACUGGCACUGAGAGACGGGCCAGACUCCUACGGGAGGCAGCAGUGGGGAAUUUUGGGCAAUGGGCGCAAGCCUGACCCAGCAACGCCGCGUGAAGGACGAAAUCCCUCUGG
rnacentral:rRNA from 1 species